UACAGAGGGUGCUAGCGUUGUUCGGAAUUAUUGGGCGUAAAGGGCGCGUAGGCGGUAUCGCAUGUCCGAUGUGAAAGCCCCACCUCUUAAAGGUGGAAUUGCAUCGGAAACUGCGAAACUAGAGUGCCGGAGAGGGUGGUGGAAUUCCUGGUGUAGAGGUGAAAUUCGUAGAUAUCAGGAGGACACCGGUGGCGAAGGCGGUUCUCUGGGCCUUACCUGACGCUGGAGGAGCGAAAGCGUGGGGAGCGAACAGG
rnacentral:rRNA from 1 species